AUCCUGGCUCAGAUUGAACGCUGGCGGCGUGCUUAACACAUGCAAGUCGCGCGUGAAAGGACUUCGGUCCGAGUAAAGCGGCGCACGGGUGAGUAACGCGUGGAUGAUCUACCCAUGAGUUAGGAAUAACGGCUGGAAACGGUCGCUAAUACCAAAUACGCUCCGAUUUCAACUUCGGGGGAAAGGUGGCCUCUGCUUGCAAGCUACUGCUCAUGGAUGAGUCCGCGUCCCAUUAGCUAGUUGGUGGGGUAACGGCCCACCAAGGCGACGAUGGGUAGCCGGUCUGAGAGGAUGACCGGCCACACUGGGACUGGAACACGGCCCAGACUCCUACGGGAGGCAGCAGUGGGGAAUAUUGCGCAAUGGGCGAAAGCCUGACGCAGCGACGCCGCGUGAGGGAUGAAAGGUCCUCGGAUCGUAAACCUCUGUCAGGAGGGAAGAACCGCCACGGUGCUAAUCAGCCGUGGUCUGACGGUACCUCCAAAGGAAGCACCGGCUAACUCCGUGCCAGCAGCAGC
rnacentral:rRNA from 1 species